GACGAACGCUGGCGGCGUGCUUAACACAUGCAAGUCGAACGGAAAGGCCCUGCUUUUGUGGGGUGCUCGAGUGGCGAACGGGUGAGUAACACGUGAGUAACCUGCCCUUGACUUUGGGAUAACUUCAGGAAACUGGGGCUAAUACCGGAUAGGAGCUCCUGCUGCAUGGUGGGGGUUGGAAAGUUUCGGCGGUUGGGGAUGGACUCGCGGCUUAUCAGCUUGUUGGUGGGGUAGUGGCUUACCAAGGCUUUGACGGGUAGCCGGCCUGAGAGGGUGACCGGCAACAUUGGAAUUGGAUUCCGGCCCGGCCCCUUCCGGGGGGAAGCAGUGGGAAAAAUUCCCCAAUGGCCGAAAGCCUGAUGCGCAACGGCGGCGGGCGGGAGACGGCCCUCGGGUUUGUAACCGGCUUCCCCCGUGACCGAGCGUGAGGUGCCGGAAUUGGUAAAGAAGCACCGGCUAACUACGUG
rnacentral:rRNA from 1 species